rnacentral:lncRNA from 1 species
CAUGCCAUAUUACUUUUUGAUGAAAGUAUAAAAUUCUAUCUCUUUGCAUGCUCAUUUUUGUUUUGAUCGACAUCGGCUAGGUGAUUCUAGGGUUUGGGUUUCGGCUCGAUAGUUUUAACUACUAAACCUAUUGAUUUGUUCAUUUUAAAAAUUUUAAAAUUUAAUUUUCACUGCAUGAUCAAAAUCCAACACAUAGGUA